UACGGGGGUGCGAGCGUUGUCCGGAAUCACUGGGCGUAAAGGGCGCGUAGGUGGUCUGAUAAGGGUGUGGUGAAAGCCCGGGGCUCAACCCCGGGUCGGCCGUGCCGACUGUUAGACUAGAGUGCUGUAGGGGCAGGCGGAAUUCCGGGUGUAGCGGUGGAAUGCGUAGAGAUCCGGAGGAAGACCGGUGGCGAAGGCGGCCUGCUGGGCAGAUACUGACACUGAGGCGCGACAGCGUGGGGAGCAAACAGG
rnacentral:rRNA from 1 species